UUAAAAAGCAGCCAUGACCUAGUAGAGUUAUAACUGGGGUUGAGAAGUGACUCAAAGAACAAAAAGAAAAUAAAUGAAGGUAGCACACAUUUUUAGGAACGUCAACAAAGAACACAAAUCUGGCAUUUUAAAAAUGUUUUUCUUUUGAAGAAUCUGGGACCUGUGACCUGUUGAGUUUCCCAGAGUCUGGAUUUUCCCGAUUAUAUAGUGAUGGUAUGUUUCAACAUGUUCUUCUGUAUUUCCUGCAAACAGGCAGCUAGAUCCAGGAGACUGGAUCAGACUCAGGAUUGAUUCCUUUGGCACAUCUAUAGGAAAGGAGGCUUCCCCAAGUCAGCAACCACUAACAACCUACCCGGCCUGCCUUGCAUAGAUGGAGACACGAGUAGAGGCGGUAUAGCAUUCUGUGAGGAGGCUGAAGCGGUACUACUAGCUUCAUUAGCUGCUGCACAGCUAGGCACAUAGAAAUUAGACUCUUCAGUGGAGCAUGCUCUGGCAGAUGAAAAAGUAAAUGACAUGUGUCAUCUCCAGGUGGAGGCUGUUAUGAGCCAGUGCAUCAUUCACUACCCUUUUAAUGGAGCUUCUAUCAGCCCAAGUCCCUGAGCAGAGCCCUCCUGUAGACCUCCAGUGGACGUGAAGCAGAACCAAGAAACAAACUUUUGUUAUGUGAAGUUACUAAGACUUGUGGCCCACUCUUACUGAAAAAUCAUAAUA